GUGUCACUUGAGUUCAAAGGUUUUUUUUCAUAAUAAAUUUGUUUGUAAUAGUUAUAUAUCCAAUUUGGUUAAUUGUUUGUUUUGUGUUAGAUAAAAAUGGCUACAUUUUUUGGAUUGGGAGACAGUGUUUUGAGAAGAGUGCUGGUAGAGGGACAAGGUGUCUCUACUAGUCGAAUUUAUGGCAAGCUCGUCGUGGACUUGUGCAUCGGCGGGCAAACGAUUUCGCAAUUGAGAAAAAGAGUCGAACGCUCACGAAGUGACGAAUCGGAAUGGUUUGUGCCUAGAAAUACGCCUCUGGUCGUUUUGAUAGGAACCAACGAUAUUUUAAGAAGUGGCAGAGCUUCUGUUGUCUUUAAUAAUCUUAAACGGUUAUUAAUUACAUUGGAAAAGUGGUCGAGGAUAACUCCCAUCACCUUGUGUACUCUUCCUCCAAUAAAGCAUGCAAGUCCCGAUGUUCGACAUCAGUUGCAUAAAUACAACACGUCGAUUAGAACGUUGUGUUCUAAUCGAUGUGAUGUAUUUAGGCUAUUGGACUUGUAUGCCUUAUUGGACGCGGAGAAUUAUGAGGGCCACUUUUUCGAACGUGACGGUAUUCAUCCAAAUAGAGAGGGGCUUUUGAGAAUUUAUGAUUCCAUAAGUUCCCUCUUUAAUUAAUGGGUCUCGCAUGUUCGAGUACAUGAUAAUCGUUUAGGAUUAUUUUUGGCGAUGGAAGACUACCCUUUUUGAAAAUCGUUUGGUAAACAAAGUAGUUCCGAUUCAUUUGAAUGAUCGUUUUAUUUUUUUGAUUAAUUAAUUGUUUGAAUUGUCAUAAAUUUGCUUCUCAAAAUUCUGAAGAUUAUUUUUCUCCUAUUUAAGGUUUUCCAAUAAUGAAGUUUAUUAUCAUGAAGUGGCUUAUUAAAGAUUAUUAUUCUCUUGAGUAGUACCUAUAUGAAGAAUGUUUUUUUGUUUUCUUUUAUACUUUCAUCAAUUAAAGGAACACUUUUAUUUACGAAUACGGUAGCAAUACAUUUGAAUACUUCUUGCACAUUCGAGUAUAUGGUAACCAUUUAGGAUUAUUUUUGGCGAUGGAAGACUACCUUUUUUGAAAAUCGUUUGGUAAACAAAGUAGUUCCGAUUCAUUUGAAUGAUCGUUUUAUUUUUUUGAUUAAUUAAUCGUUUGAAUUGUCAUCAAUUUACUUCUCAAAAUUCUGAAGAUUAUUUUUCUCCUAUUUAAGGUUUUCAAAUAAUGAAGUUUAUUAUCAUGAGAUGGCUUAUUAAAUUUAAUAUUUAUUUAAACGGUAUGUGAAGAAUGUUCGUUGGUACUUAUUUAAGAAAAAAAGAAAAAAACAUCAUUGAAGAAAACCGCUACGUUUUUUUUAAAGUCAUUUUAUUUCGAACAAUUGCCAAUUAUUAUAGUGUACUUGUGUAGGAAAUUACGUAUGUAACAAUUAUUGGUACAUAUCUCUCAUAAUAAUCUAUUUCUUUACGUUAUUUAAGAUAAA